rnacentral:rRNA from 1 species
AAUUUUGGACGAUGGGGGAAACCCUUAUCCAGCCAUCCCGCGUGUAUGAUGAAGGCCUUCGGUUUGUAAAGUACUUUUGGCAGAGAAGAAAAGGCAUCCCCUAAUACGGUUUGCGUCUGACGGUAUCUGCUUAGUAAGCACCGGCUACCUACGUGCCAGCAGCCGCGGGAAUACGUAGGGUGCAAGCGUUAAUCGGAAUUACUGGGCGUAAAGCGUGUGUAGGCGGUUCGGAAAGAAAGCUGUGAAAUCCCAGGGCUAAACCUUGGAACUGCAUUUUUAACUGCCGAGCUAGAGUAUGUCAGAGGGGGGUAGAAUUCAAAGUGUAGCAGUGAAAUGCGUAGAUAUGUGGAGGAAUACCGAUGGCGAAGGCAGCACCCUGCGAUAAUACUGACGCUCAGACACGAAAGCGUGGGGAGCAAACAGG